rnacentral:ncRNA from 1 species
AUUAUCAAGAGUGGAUGAGAGAACGGCUCUGUGACUCCACAGCAACCUAUUAAAUUAGGUGCUAAUACCGUCAAAACAUGUAUUGUUUUGAAUGAUGA